rnacentral:rRNA from 1 species
AGGGUGUAAACGCUGCAGACUUGGUGUUGGAAGCCCUUUGGGGGCAUUCAGUGCCGGAGAGAAGUUGUUAAGUCUGCUACUUGGGGAGUACGUCCGCAAGGAUGAAACUUAAAGGGAUUGGCGGGGGAGCACCGCAACGGGAGGAGCGUGCGGUUUAAUUGGAUUCAACACCGUAAAACUCACCAGGGAAGACUGUUACAUGAAGGCCGAGAUGAAGACUCUGCUAGAUUUUCAGAGAGGAGGUGCAAUGGCGUCAGUGACU